rnacentral:lncRNA from 1 species
CGCUAGGUGCCUGGUGCUCCGCUCUGCGCUCAGCUGCUCCGCACAGCCCCGCCUGGCACGCAGCUCCAGCGGCUGGUCGGGUAGUAGUCGGUCCCGCCCACCCGGUGCGGUGGCCCCUGGGGUUUCAGUCCAAGGGGAGGGACCAGCGCUCCAAGAAGGUGAGGCUGCUGGGAUGGGUGACUCCGCCGUCACUGCAAACACGGGACGUCCCGUCUACUCCCUUACGCCUGCUUGGUCUGAGCCCGAGUCUACCUCUUCUCUAAGUCGCCAGCUCGGCACUUGUACCCGGGACCUGUGCUCCUCCCACGUGAGUCUGCACCAUGCGUAUUCCCUUCCUGGCAGGUGACCCACCUUAGGCGCUGGCGCUCCUUCCGCCCCCCGGGAAGCAGGAGGUGCCAUCCUCUCCAAUUCGCUCUGCAGCCGGACUGGGACCGGAGCGGCGGCCUGGGCCAGAAUCCGCGUGAGGAGCCGGCUUCAAAGAGCGCCCUGUCGCCAUUGAACACUCCUUUUCCUUUGGUUUAGCGUCGGAGAGCGGACGCCAAUUUGCCAGGAGAGCGCGGAAAAUUCAGCUUUUUUUUUUUUUUUUUUUUUUUUUUUUUUCCGCUAGUGCACUAGGAUUGCAAACGUCAGCUCUGAAAUAAAAAGCAGGAUAUUUCUGCCCCGCUCCUCUAUUCCGGAAGCUGGGAGGUUCUGUGGGAGAAAGGACCUGCACCCAAUAACUCAAUUUAAGAUUUAAGGUUUUGAGGGGCGUGGGGUUGGAAUCGCCUUGGAGAAACGGGUUUGCCUGCUUACCUGAGCCAAAGGAAGUUGCCCUCAAAGGCAGGUCAGCAAUCAUACCCCGCCAAAAGCAAAUGCACAUCAAAGUAACUUCCUUUAAAUGAGAUUACUGUAGUUUCCAUGUCUUCCACAUUAGUAAAUAAAUAUUUGGAAGACUUCGAAUUUGUGAUUUACGUUUAAAUAUAUUUCACCAACAUUGUUUAAUUAAAAAAAAAUCCCAUCUAAGAGAAGGUUCCUAUAGGAAAUUGGCCCUUUAACUCAUACACAGAUUACCCUCGGCACUUUCAGAAAACAACACAGUGACCAGUAUAUUCUGUCUUUUUGAUACAGCCAGAAGCACCCUGAAAGCUGAGACCUAACUGUGCUUUUGGAAAAUAAGCUUUUAGGAGUUGAAUGACCUUGUCUACUUCUUUUAGUCAGAAUAAUGUUGGCAUGUCUAUUUUAGGUUAAAAAAAAAUACAAAUUCUAAAAAGUGACUUUAAAGGCCCACUUUGAAAGCCUUAGCAUUUAAACUAACAUUAGAUUUAAAAGAAGGGCUUUUCUCCCCCAUUAUAGGAAGCUGUGUAAAAUCAUGUGUGAGGUUGUGAGGGUCAAAUGGAAGUCUAAGAUAAAGUUCUGCCAAUUACUGGUGUCUUUAAGCUUCCACCAGCAGCCAAGCACAGUGCAGAUCAUGAGUCCUUCAAAAUACGGGGUGGUUUUAAUGCUCUAAGUUGGUAUGAUUACUUUUUCUAAAGAGCUCAAAGUGCUUUGGUGCCAUAGUAUGAAUUUCAUUACCCAUUGUGAGACACAAAGGGGGUUAGCAAUGAUUCUGUUUGCACCCUGGAAGCCAAAGGCAGGUUACUCACCCACUUAGUUCCCUACCACAAGACCUUGAAAGAAACUGGAACCCCAGGUCUCCAGCCCAGAGAUUUUGUUGGAAGUUUCCAUUUGCAGGAAAUGACUGCAGGGCACAUGUGGGAAGUGACAGGAAUUUGAGGACUAACAUUUUAGUUUUCCUCAUUUCUUUUUAAAUCUGAGCAAUUGUUCAUUGAUCGAUAAUCUAUGUUCUUACAUUCAGAUAAAUAAAAACACCAACUGGCUAUUUUGUUCUUACUUAGUUUUAUGUGUAUGUCCAGGCAUUUGCCACUGCUCCUAAAUAGCUCUCCCUGAAGUCUUCUGGUCAUGAGUUAGGUUUCUUAUCCAGAAGCUCAUGUAGUGCCAGAGCUUAGCUCUCCUAUGACAACACAAUCACAUUAUUGAAACAUCUAUUUAGGGAUCUGUCUUCUCUAAUAGAUUAUAAACGCCUUGAGCUUGGGUAUCGUGAUUUAAUGAUGAAUCCUCCAUGGUAUCUGAAUCCCAGAAUCCUACAAUCCUGCAUGGUAUCUGAAACAUACUAUGCUCUUAAAAAAAAAAAAAAAAAACUUUGUAAAUGGAACUUCCCUCAAGGAGUCAGGGUUUAAGUCAAACAUGUUUCCCUUUCAAAGCCGUGGGCAUGAGAAUAGAGGCUGUUAGGAGACACAGUAGUAGUUGACUGCAAAAGUGUCUGUCAGUCAGUUGUGUGGCCCAAGACUCUUUUUAUCAGUUCCAACAACUGAAAAAUGAGAGGGUUUUAGUGGAAGAUCUCUGUACUGCUAAUAUUUUAAGAUCUCGAAGUCUUUAUUGAGCACCUAGUAUGUGUACAACACUAUGCCAGUUACUAAGAGAGAGAUGAAAAAAUAAGAUAUCUCCAUUGCCCUAAGAGAGCAUAAAAUCUUAUCUCAAGGAAAAACAAGGCAAACACUCCUAGCCUACCUUUACAGACACGCACAGACAUGAGUUAACACAGUUGUAAACUGUUCUAAAGAAGAUAAAGGCUCAAGGAGUGAAAAGGCAUGAAAUAGAAACAAAAGCAACUGACCUAUGAGUUUGGGCAAUAAUCAGUAAUAAUACCAGCUAAAGUGUAUCUAAGGCUUAUAGUGCCAGGUACUAUGCAAAAUGAAUCAUAGGAGCUGCACCUUUUGUUCAUUUUACAAAUGGGGAAACGGAGGUUUAGGAGAGUUUAGUGACUCGUUCAAGGUGACAUACUAAUAAGUGGUAGGGCUGAUAUUCAAAGAGUUCUCACCUGACUCCAAAGUGCAUCUUCUCAACCAAUAUUAGAGAUUAUUAGCCCAGACUUCCCUAUUUUAUAAUUGAGGGAUUUCAUUAGAGCACUAGAGGAGGAAGCUACCCUUCCAGUAAAAACUAGACUCCUAGUCUAGUGCUCUAUGUAAUUAAGUAAUAUGCUUAUGUUUGCUAUUUUUCUGGUUUUUCUCUUUCCCACAAAAUAUGUAAUAGGAGACGGGAGGUCAGGAAAAGGGGAGAGAGAGAAAAAGAGAGAAGUUGCUUCUUUUGAAGAUGUCCAGAAUCCACAGUAGUCUACCUGCUCAGACUCAAUGGGGUUUUAUUUGUAACCCCCAGUCUAGUGGGCAGCCCUGUAUAGCCUUUCUUCCCAUCAUGGCUGUUUGAAUCUUUCAGGUUAAUAGCAUGAAUAUUAAAGACUCCAGUGGGACUCUUUAUCCACAAAGGAAAUUGGGAUCAGGUUAAAAAUCCAAUUUUAAUAAACUUUCCAAGUCCUGAUUUAGAUGAGGUACUAAUGGCUCUUACUGCUGAAUCACCUUAAAAGUCAAAUGUAUUUUUAAAAGGGAAGCUUGUUGGGUAUUGUUUAAUUGUGCAUUGCACAUUCCUGUCUUAAUAGAAAAAGAUCAUCUGUAAAACUUAUGAGAGCAGAUAGGAAAUGCCACUAUCCACAGAGCCAGUUGGGUAGAGGGAAGGGCGUUGGGUUUGAAAGAUAAUUUUCACUCGUUUGACCAAAACAAAGAGAGCAUGAUUGCACUGUGUGAAAAUGAUAUCCUCGAAUAACUCCACUAAUUUGAUUGUGCUGAGGUCUAGAAUUGUUUCUAUUUCUUUUGAUUUGCUAAUUAGCUAGAGCAGUCCGCUAGUGAGAGGGGAAAUGAGGGUCACAGCCAUAAAACAUGGAGGAUUGUUGUUCCUUCCAACUCAGCUCACCCAUCUCAUGCCUCCCCAACCAUCCCGUCCCAACGCCCAAUUUUGUCUCUGUGUAUGUAACAACAAUCCAUCCAUCUAUGACAAAUUGAGUGAUUCUUUUCUGAAAACAGGAUUUUUAAGAUUAUCUACUUUAUGACACCAAAUUUGACACAUCUUGGCAUAUGUGGUUAUGAGGUCCAGUUAUGACUUUUAUGAUGUUUUCCUUUAUGAAUCCUGCUCCCUGCCUUGCCAAGUUAAAAUUAUAUCUUAUGAUUACAUUAGUAUAAAGGUGAGUAUAUUUUCUUCUUUAUUUAAAUAUCUUCUUUAAUCUAAAAGUUUAUCUUUUUCUGAUUUUUAGAAGAAAUUAAAUCAUUUUUGGGAAGCCCUCAAGGUACCAUAAGCUCUGGGCAGUGUGCCUAAGACUUCUAAUGGAGAAUUUAGCCCUGUGCAGAUGAUAUUGCAGAGGAGGAAUGCUUAGUUAAUUUAGUUCCAGGAUACCUGUGCAGGACAUGACAUGCAGGUUUGUCAUGUAGGUAAACAUGUGCCAUGGUGGUUUGCUGCACCUGUCGACCCAUCACCUAGAAGGAAAAAAUUGGACACGGAGAUAAGGACAGAGGAAAGAUGAUGUGAAGACAGGGGCAGAAGUCAGCCAUCUACAAGUCAAAGGGAGACAUGUGGAACAGAUUCACCCUCACAGCCCUCAGAUGGAAGCAACACCACUAACACUUUGCUCUUGGACUUCUAGCUUCCAGAACUGAGAGACAAUAUCUUUCUGUUGCUUAAGUCAUUCUGUCUGUGAUACUGUGUUUAUGGCAGCCCUGGCAAACUAAUACAGUCCCACAAAGAUUUGGUUGUUGCUUUGCAAGAGAAUGUAUAAUUCCUGGUUAUUUCUACAAAUAAGGGCAUUGACUUUAUAAAGCUACAAGUAUACCCCAGUAUUCUGUUUCUGGUUUUUGUUUACUUUCAUAUAUGCUAUCUUUUCAUUCCCAGGUGAAAUCA